UACGAAGGGGGCUAUCGUUGCUCGGAAUCACUGGGCGUAAAGGGUGCGUAGGCGGGUUUUUAAGUCAGGGGUGAAAUCCUGGAGCUCAACUCCAGAACUGCCUUUGAUACUGAAGAUCUCGAGUCCGGGAGAGGUGAGUGGAACUGCGAGUGUAGAGGUGAAAUUCGUAGAUAUUCGCAAGAACACCAGUGGCGAAGGCGGCUCACUGGCCCGGUACUGACGCUGAGGCACGAAAGCGUGGGGAGCAAACAGG
rnacentral:rRNA from 1 species